UCAAUCCUUGAAACUGAAAAUUAAAAGAAAUCUAAAAUCUCCCCCAAAGGGGAGGAGGAAAAUGGAAAGCCAGAACGUAAUUGCACUCUUAACUAUCCUACUCCUAAUUCUAAUGAGUUUUCUAUCGUGCAUGCUUCUCCAUUUUAUAGCUAAUUCUCUGAAACAAACUCCUUCAAUUCAGCCUUUGUUCUCUAACAGUUGUCCCCCUAGGCUUCUUGUCUUUUCUUCAAUACCAGUAGCUUUGAAGACUUUCUCAUCAAAAUGUUGCCUAGCCGUGCCAGCAGAAAUGAGGUGGGGGCCUCCAUUGUUUGUCUUUUUCUUCAAUUUGCCGUGUGCUUGCUAGACCCGUGAAUCUUCUUCUGCUCCUUCUUGCGGUUUCUCUCCAUGCAUGACAGCACUUCUUCUUUGCUCCUAGAUAUCAUCCAAGCCGUGGAAUGUCACUCCAAUCUGCUUCAAGUUUGCUGGACAUGAAGUUGAUGCCAACCGUGAAGUGCUUGUUGCUGUAGGAAUGGGGUUGCUGCUGGAUGCUUGAAAUUGCUGUCAUGGCUUUGCUGGACGUGACUGGUGCAGCUGCCUUCUUCAAGACCGUGAGCUUUGUGUAGAGUGGAAGAGGAAAAUUCUGCAGAUUCCUAAACCAAAGUGCCGUAAGCUUUGCCAAGAGUGGUGGCCCCCUUUUUCAAUCAAGCUUCACGUUAAUGGUUGAAUGAAAAUUUGUAAUGUGAAAGCCAUGUGUCCCUCCACUAUCUUACUUCUUCAAAGUCCAUUAUUUGUGCUCUUCUACGUGUGCACACAUGACCAUAGUUUUUUUUCCAAGCCAUUCAUCAAAUGCUUCUCCAAGUGGUGGCCCCAUAUGUUGACUCCUUUACCCUAUCAUAUUGUAUAACUUUCUCCAAUGACAAUAGAAGAAGAAAGAGGGGCCGUGUGCUAUAUACUUCCCUUCCUAUUGCUCAUAAAAUUUAACAUUUCAUCUUUGAACUCUUUCCAUGUGCCGUGACCUUCCAACAAAGGUGGUCCCCUUCUUUUCCAUCCAACACAUUCUUUUAUGAUUAAAACAAUAUGAAUGGCCGUGUGGUGUUUUCAUUUGGACAUUUUCAACAUGUGGCCCCUUCCUUUAAUUCUAAUUGGUGUGCUUUUGUGCUAGCUAUUUUGGUGAGAUGUUGUAUGUGCCCCUCCAUCAUGCUUCACGGCCACCUCCAUUUCUCAUAAACCAAAUAAACAUUCUUCAAUCAUAGGUGGUACUUCCAUUUUUGUUUCAUGCUGGAUACUUGCCAAAAUGAAUUGUAAUUGGAUGUGUGUGACUUCUCAGCAAAUAUUGGACCUUACUUCAAUUCAAAUGUGCCAAUAUGAUGAGUGAGAUGGAAUCAGAGAGAUACACCAGUUAGCAGUGGCGUCCUACAGAUGAUCAGGUCAAGAUGAUGACCAACAUCUACAACUAUGGGGUUACCCAUCCAAGCAGAGCGCAAGUCGUCGAGAUUGCGUCUCGACUAAGGGCUUUCGGCGAAGCUACUGACUACAACGUACACCACGACAAUCGGGUCAGGCGCUGGCAAGUAGAGAUAGACCCCACUGGCACUCUCUUUUCAAUGUUGCCGCUCUAUAUGUACGAAUAUGACUGGGUGAUUAUGAGGGCACCAAGGCUGUUGGAUUUGUUCCACAUUCCCAUCAUCAUCGACGAUGACAGAGAUGACGAUAAAUCCCUCCGCCUAGGCCUCCUACAUUCCGCACCAGAGCUCCCUCGACGGAGCUUACCUUAAGAACUCCACCCAACAACAACUUUCGUUUUUAAUGUUUUGUUAUAUUUUUUUUAUGUUUUUACUAGCCGAGUGUGGCCAGAAUUUGAAUAAGGCAUGUAAUAUGGACAAUUAUUUUUUUUUAUGUUUAUAUAUAUUUUUUUUAUUUUGGUGUGUAAAAUUAACGAUCAUUACUGAUCGAACAUCAAACAUCUUUAUUUUCAUAUAUCUAUUGCAAUUUCAUUUUCAGAUAUGUUAAAUCUCCAUUUUUCCAUUACUGUAAUUUUUUUGCAUUGAUGAAUGAAAUCUCUCUUAGUCU